AUUGAACGCUGGCGGCAUGCUUUACACAUGCAAGUCGAACGAGUGGCGAACGGGGGAGUAAUAUAUCGGAACGUACCGAGUAAUGGGGGAUAACCAAUCGAAAGAUUGGCUAAUAACGCAUAUUAUUCGAGCGGCCGAUAACUGCUUCGCUAGUUGGUGGGGUAAAGGCCUACCAAGGCGACGAUCAGUAGCGGGUAUGAGAGGACGAUCUGCCACACUUGGACUGAGACACGGCCCAGACGCCUACGAGAGGCAGCAGUGGGGAAUUUUGGACAAUGGGCGCAACCCUGGUCCAGCCAUGCCGAGUGUAUGAAGAAGGCCUUCGGGUUGUAAAGUACUUUUGUUAGUGAAGCGGUACCUAAAGAAUAAGCACCGGCUAACUACGUGCCAGCAGCCGCGGUAAUAC
rnacentral:rRNA from 1 species